UACGGAGGGUGCAAGCGUUAUCCGGGUUCACUGGGUUUAAAGGGUGCGUAGGUGGGUCUGUAAGUCCGUGGUGAAAUCUCCGAGCUUAACUUGGAAACUGCCAUGGAUACUAUAGGUCUUGAAUACUGUGGAGGUCAGCGGAAUAUGUCAUGUAGCGGUGAAAUGCUUAGAUAUGACAUAGAACACCAAUUGCGAGGGCAGCUGGCUACACAAAUAUUGACACUGAUGCACGAAAGCGUGGGGAUCAAACAGG
rnacentral:rRNA from 1 species